UCACUUUGUAGACCAGGCUGACCUCGAACUCAGAAAUCUGCCUGUCUCUGCCUCCCGAGUGCUGGGAUUAAAGGCAUGCGCCACCACGCCCGGCUGGAAUUGCUUUCUUAUUUGAAGGAUUUUUUUGGUUUGUUUUUUUGUGUUUUGAGACAGGGUUUCUCUGUGUGGCCUGGCUGUCCUGGGACUCACUCUGUAGACCAGGCUGGCCUCGAACUCAGAAAGUUGCCUGCCUCUGCCUCCCAGGUGCUGGGAUUAAAGGCAUGUGCCACCACGCCCGGCUUGAAGGAUUUUUGAAAUUAUUUUAUUAUAGGGUAUAAUGCAUCUGUGGCACGUGCAUGCUAUGGCAUGCAUAGAGAGAUAGAUCAGAGGACAAUUUUGUGGCAUCAGUUCUUGCCUUCCCCCUUCAUCAGACUUUUAGGGAUCAAAUUCAGGUCAUCAGGCUUAUAUGGCAAGCAUUUUCCUACUGAACCAUGCUGGGGAGUGGUUUGUUUUGUUUUGUUUUGUUUUUUAAUGGUUUUGAGGUACUGGGGAUGGAACUCAGGGCUGUGUGUGUGCUAGGCAAAUACUCUUACCUGAGCUAUUCUAUCAGCCCAAGUUAUCAAUUUUGAUGAGAUCUGAUUCAUUAUUUUUUCUUUUAUGUUUUAUAUGCUUUUAUUUUCUGUUAGAACACAUCUGCCAAGCAAGAGGUGGGAAGAUGAGUUAAGGGUAAAUCGCUUGCGGUGCAAGCACGAGGACCUGAGUUUGGAUCCCAGCACCCACUGAGUCUACCAUAAGAAAAGCUGGCUGCAACAGUGGGCAUCUGUCACCUCAGCCCUGGAAUAGGUGGAUCCUGACAGCUCGCUGGGCAGCCAGUCUAUCCAAACUAAUGAAAACCACAGCAGAGAAGAAGAAGAUGAGCCCCGGGCUAGUGUCAGUCAUGGUCUUCCCAGCACACACCUGUCACCAGGUUGAACGUUACGGUCCCCAGCACCAUAGCCAGAAGCACCCUUGUGAUUAUGCCGCUGCUUGUGGUGUAAGCCCCGAGGACCCAGCGUUCUGGCCAGACACGUGACUUCACACAGCCAACCUUCAAGCAAUCUAAAUGAAGACAAACCGGGCCAGCAGGAUGGUGCAGCAGCUCAAGACACUUGCUGUCAAGCCUGAUGACCUGAGUUCUAAUCCUGGGACCGCACGAGAGAGAACCAACUUACACAAGAUGAGAAUUAAGACCCAGAGUCCUGGGUUUGGGAACAAAACGAUGGUGACUCCAGACGACAAUCCCAACACUCAAGAUGCUACUACAGGAGGACUGCUGCAAGUUCAAGCCUGCCUAGCCACAGCAACAGUGAGUUCCAGACCAACCUGAAUGGCAGACAGAGUGAGACCCUAUCUCAAAACACAGGCAAGUACCUGCCACCAAGCACCAAAUCCAAAUUCAACCCCCAGGACACAUGGUAGAAGGAAAAGAAUGGACUGACUUCUUGUCUGUCCCUCGGUGUGUGUGUGUGUGUCUGUGAGAUGUAUAGAAAUACAUACAUAGAAAUAAAUGUAAAGAGAGAGAGAGAGAAGAAAGCAAGUUCAAACAUUCUCUAUUUGUGUCUUGCCACGUCGCUGACUUUCCCUAAGCUCUGUCAUCUCUCGAAGUUGUAAAGAGAACAGCACAUGUGAGAAGGGGGACACUACCACAUGCUAUUAUAAAACAGUACUAGUUACAUAUUCCCAAAGGAAAUUAAAAAUGUUGCUGGAAAUAUGGAAUUAGAAGUCUGGUUUUCAACCUAAUCGGAAGACUUUUAGGUAGAAGACAGCCUGCUAACACAGCUGUUAAGGCUACACAUCCAGGGAUGAAGACCUGGUGAAAUUGACAAGUUCUUCUAAUGUUCUCUGUUGGUGAAUUACAGAGAAAACUUUAUUCACAGGAGCCCUGAAAUAUCUACCCUCAUAUUUAAUCAUCCUCUUAAGAAUGGCUAUUAUCUAGAAUACUGUCAUAUAUAGAAACUCCACACUGCACUACAUGUUCCCCUGUUGAAUUAAUGCUUGUCAAGUCAUUUAACAGCUUCUGAGCACCUAUGAAGUAGCAGCUACUGGAUCCAGAUGCUAUAAAUAAAUACAUAAGAGGGGCUGUUGAUUCAGACCUGCAUGCCAUCCCUGGGGUCCCCACAGAGGGAGAGAGGCCCUCCUCCACAAUGUUCUCUCACCUCCACCUGUACACAUGUGUAUCAAUACUUUUAAAUAUCUCAAUGGGUAGGUUCACAGAGAAGACUUAUGACAAUAAAAGAAUUACCGAGGUCAUAUAAAAUGUACAGUAUGUUUAUAGCUAUUGACUAUGACUAAAUUAUCAUAAACAUUCCCAUUUUAUUGUCUUUUUUUCUAGCAUUUCUAAUGCUGUCAAAAAUCUAACAUUCCUAAAUCCUGCAUUGUAAUUCUGCUCAUAAAAUUUUCCUAACAUUUAAAAUAUUAAAAUUAGAAAUUAUUAUAUUAGGGGAAAAUUAGAUAUUUCUAAGUAACCUGUGUUUAAAAAAAAAAAAUCAGGGGGCUGGUGAGAUGGCUCAGUGGGUAAGAGCACCCAACUGCUCUUCCGAAGGUCCGGAGUUCAAAUCCCAGCAACCACAUGGUGGCUCACAACCAUCCAUAACGAGAUCUGACUCCCUCUUCUGGAGUGUCUGAAGACAGCUACAGUGUACUUACAUAUAAUAAAUAAAUCUUUAAAAAAAAAAAUCAUACUGGUCCCAGCACUCAGGAAGCACAGGCAGGUAGAGCUCUGUGAGUUUGAGGUCAGCCUGGUUCAGAGCUAUAUAGAGACCCUAUCUAAAAACAAAACAAAACAAUCCCCAAACUCACCCCCUAAAAAGAAAAUACUGAUGAAGUCAUAAGACAUGUAAGUUGUUCAAUCUACAAAUUUGAUUAGCAAAUCCUUCUGAAACCCAUGUGGGACACAAGGACUGCUCUGGAGUCCACAGAGAUGACUGAACUGCAGUCUCUUCAUGUCCCUGGAGAAACGCCAGGUCAGAGUUUAGGUGGGUGGUCUGAUCCUCCUACCACCAGUCCAUUCCCUAUCCUGGGUCCCUGACCUUUCCAGCAGAUCCUGGUGAGUGACGUGGGCUUGCACUGGAGUAAAUCACUACUAAAAAACAUUUACUGGGGAUGUCUGGAUUUUAAAGAGGAGGCUGAAACUUAAUAAGCUAAACAGUCAAGCCACAAAGGUUUUUAAAAGAUUAAGCCAAGGAAAACAGAAGAUAACAAAGUCAGCCCACUAAAGCCUCUCCACGUAAACGGUGCACAGUCCCACUGGGGACUCAUUUUCUAACCCUCCUGAUCCCGGAGCUGGGAUGGCUCUUCCUGGAGGAAGCUAGCUUUCUACAUCCCACUCCACAGACACCCCCAUCCAGCACUUGGCCAUCUUUCACGUCACCUGACAAGGACAGUGUGUGGCCUAUGGGUACAGCAGAGCUAUUCAGCCAUAGAAACAAGCAUGCUCCAACAGUCAUGGAUACUGAAAACAUGCUGUGUCAAAGAAGCCAGUCAGAAAGGGCCACAACCAGGAGGACUCUUGUCCUGUGAAAGGCUACAACAGGCAGAUCCUGUGGCAUAUGUGUGAUCUCCUGGGGCUGGGGGCAGGGAAGGAGGAGUAACAGCUAUCAAGUACGGGGGCUUUUUUGGAGUUGGUGACAACCUUCUAAACUUAGUGGGGAUGGAUGCACAGCACUAUAAAUACACUAAAACCACUAGAUUAGCUGUUUUAAUGGGCUGGUUUUUGCUGUAUCCAAAUUAUAUCUCUAACAUCUGUGUGUAUAUAUAAAUUAUAUCCCUACAAAACUAUUUUUUUUUUUAAGAUUUAU